GGGGGAUUGGUGAAAUAGGUAGACACGUGGCACUCAAAAUGCUAUGGCGAGAGCCGUAUCAGUUCAAAUCUGAUAUCCCCUACCA
rnacentral:tRNA from 1 species